rnacentral:rRNA from 1 species
UACAGAGGGGGCAAGCGUUGUUCGGAAUUACUGGGCGUAAAGGGCGCGUAGGCGGCCUUCUAAGUCGAACGUGAAAUCCCCGGGCUCAACCCGGGAGCUGCGUCCGAUACUGGAAGGCUUGAAUCCGGGAGAGGGAUGCGGAAUUCCAGGUGUAGCGGUGAAAUGCGUAGAUAUCUGGAGGAACACCGGUGGCGAAGGCGUCAUCCUGGACCGGUAUUGACGCUGAGGCGCGAAAGCCAGGGGAGCAAACGGG